rnacentral:rRNA from 1 species
UGCAGUCGAGGGGUAGAAGGAGCUUGCUCCUUUGAGACCGGCGCACGGGUGCGUAACGCGUAUGCAAUCUACCUUAUACAGGGGAAUAGCCCAGAGAAAUUUGGAUUAAUGCCCCAUAGCAUUACGACUUGGCAUCAAGAUGUAAUUAAAGUUCCAACGGUAUAAGAUGAGCAUGCGUCCCAUUAGUUAGUUGGUAAGGUAACGGCUUACCAAGACGAUGAUGGGUAGGGGUCCUGAGAGGGAGAUCCCCCACACUGGUACUGAGACACGGACCAGACUCCUACGGGAGGCAGCAGUGAGGAAUAUUGGUCAAUGGUCGCAAGACUGAACCAGCCAUGCCGCGUGCAGGAAGACGGUCCUAUGGAUUGUAAACUGCUUUUAUACAGGAAGAAACCCUCCCACGUGUGGGAGCUUGACGGUACUGUAGGAAUAAGGAUCGGCUAACUCCGUGCC